rnacentral:rRNA from 1 species
GAUGAACGCUGGCGGCGUGCCUAAUACAUGCAAGUCGAGCGAAGCGGGGACGGGUGAGUAACACGUAUGGGACUUCCUAUAAGAAUGGGAUAACUUCGGGAAAACGGAGCUAAACCGGCUACUUAUAGAUGGAUACGCUCUGCAUUAGCUAGUUGGUACGGUAACGGCUGUCCAAGUCAACGAUGCAUAGCCGGCCUGCGAGGUUGAUCGGCCACACUGGAACUGAGACACGGUCCAGACUCCUACGGGAGGCAGCAGUAGGGAAUCUUCCGCAAUGGGCGAAAGCCUGACGGAGCAACGCCGCGUUAGUGAUGAAGGUCUUCGGAUCGUAAAACUCUGUUAUUAGGGAAGCGGUACCUACUCAGAAAGCCACGGCUAACUACGUGCCAGCCGCCGCGGUAAUAC